UACGUAGGGUGCAAGCGUUAAUCGGAAUUACUGGGCGUAAAGCGUGCGCAGGCGGUUGUGCAAAACAGAUGUGAAAUCCCCGGGCUUAACCUGGGAAUUGCAUUUGUGACUGUACGGCUAGAGUGUGUCAGAGGGGGGUAGAAUUCCACGUGUAGCAGUGAAAUGCGUAGAGAUGUGGAGGAAUACCGAUGGCGAAGGCAGCCCCCUGGGAUAACACUGACGCUCAUGCACGAAAGCGUGGGGAGCAAACAGG
rnacentral:rRNA from 1 species